rnacentral:rRNA from 1 species
AUUUAACGCUGGCGGCAGGCCUAACACAUGCAAGUCGAGCGGAGCGGCGGACGGGUGAGUAAUGCCUCGGAAUCUGCCUGGUAGUGGGGGAUAACGUCCUGAAACGGGCGCUAAUACCGCAUACUAUCAGAUGAGCCUAGGUCGGAUUAGCUAGUUGGUGGGGUAAAGGCCUACCAAGGCGAAGAUCCGUAACUGGUCUGAGAGGAUGAUCAGGCACACUGGGAAGAAGACACGGUCUAGACUCCUAAGGGAGGCAGCAGUGGGGAAUAUUGGACAAUGGGAGAAAGCCUGAGGCAGCGAUUCCGUGUGUGUGAAGAAGGUCUUCGGAGUGUAAAGAACUUUAAGUGGGGAGGCGGUACCAACAGAAUAAGCACCGGCUAACUUCGUGCCAGCAGCCGCUGUAAUAC